rnacentral:rRNA from 1 species
AGAGUGAACGCUGGCGGCAGGCCUAAUACAUGCAAGUCGAACGGCAGCACGGCAGAGCUUGCUCUGUGGGUGGCGAGUGGCGGACGGGUGAGGAAUACAUGGGAAUCUGCCCAGUCGUGGGGGAUAACGUAUGGAAACGUACGCUAAUACCGCAUGCGCCCUUCGGGGGAAAGCCGGGGACCUUCGGGCCUGGCGCGAUUGGAUGAGCCCAUGUCGGAUUAGCUAGUUGGCGGGGUAACGGCCCACCAAGGCGACGAUCCGUAGCUGGUCUGAGAGGAUGAUCAGCCACACUGGAACUGAGACACGGUCCAGACUCCUACGGGAGCAGCAGUAGGGAAUAUUGGACAAUGGGCGCAAGCCUGAUCCAGCCAUGCCGCGUGUGUGAAGAAGGCCUUCGGGUUGUAAAGCACUUUUGUACCGGAAAGAAAAGACGCUGGUUAACACCUGUGUCCUGACGGUACCGGAAGAAUAAGCACCGCUAACUCGUACCAG